AAAAAAGGAAAUAUAUUAUACAUUUUAAUAUUUUAUCUCCAGUUUAGUAAAGUUUUUGUUAUGAGGAGCGCAAAUGAUAGAUCCAGUGGGAGGAUCAUAAUGUGCAAGGCUGCAAGGAAUAGUGAGCAGUAAGGAAGCUAAGACUUUUACUGGAAACCCACUAAAGGAGCUGGUGAGUGGCUGUAACUUUCUGGGCUGGUAACUAGACGGCCACUGGGAAAUGGAGGCAUCUGGAGAAACCCUGUUUUAUUUUAUUUGCCAUGUUUAUUCUCAUUUCUGCUCUAUCAUUACCUUACCUCUGAUUGUUUUGCUCUCUCCUUUGACUUUCUGUGUCCUACUUUACACUAGAGUUUAGGUUUAUUCAUAGUUUCUGCUUUCUCAUGAAUCCUUAAGAGAUCCAGUUCUAGUUCCCACUUGGUUAUAAAUAUUUAAAGCUCAGAUGCUUAUGAAUUGUCAGCCUGUCAUCCUGACUGGCUCUUUCCUAGGCUAGUCAGCUGGGGUUGGGAAUCAAGAGUAGCAGGCUCAGAAGACAGUGAAGUUUCCCUUAGGAGCCAAGGGAAGACGGGUUUAUUACAAUGGGAAAGCAUGUCUAAAACAACAUUAAAAUGUUUCCCUUUUCCUAGUACAAAGGCAAAAUUCUUAAUACAAAAAGAUACAUAAAAUUUAAUCAAGUUUACCAUUAAAAAUGUUGACUUUGGAUUUACUUUUAGAAAGGAAUUCUAAAUCUCGAAACUAAAUCUAUUUGUUUAUAUAUUUUUUCUUAUUCUGCCAAAAUCUUUCAAUCCUUAAUCUUUUUUUAAAUGAAAAUGAUUUAUUUUCUCUCUCCCAACUGUUGGUUAUUCCAUUUGUUAAUUAAUCCAUCCUUUGCUCACUGAUUUGUAAAUAUACCUUUAUCUUUCUUUGUCCUGAAACAUAGAUGCUAUAAAAUAAGAUUUAUAAGUGCAGCUACAUAAGUGAAGUACUUCAUGGCAAAAGCAUUGUAAAUAAAGUCAAAAGAAAAUGAGAGACUUGGAAAGUAUUUGCAACAUGUAUUACUUAGUGUUAGUCACCAUUAAUAUAUAAAAAUCUUCUAAAUAAAGAAAAUCAAAAGGACACAAUUUAAAAUGAGCAAUGGGCAUGAACAGAGAGAGCUCACAGAAAAACAAAUGAUACUUAUGAACGAAUGCUCAAGCUCAUUUAUAAGUUGUUUUAUUUGAGAACUUUGUUGGAAGGACUAUGAUCAUACUGGCAUUUAUAGAAUAUUUGUUACAGUACAAAAUAAUACUUAUGGAGGGCACUUUGGAGGUAUUUAUCAAAAUUAGAAUUGCCUUUAUUCUUCGAUCUAGUGAUCCUAUAUAUCUGCACAUGUGAAACAAAUGGCAUAUGUAACAUUGUAGACUGUUUUAUAAUAGUCAAACUUUGAAAAUAACCCAGGAGCUGUCAGUGUGAAACUGGAUAAACUGGUACAUUCACACAAUGGAAUACUAGGUUGCAGUAAAAACACAUGAGGAGCAGUCUCUGCAGUGACAUAUUAAGUGAAAAAGUGAAAUGUACAUGUUCACUUAUGUUAAAUAACAUUGAGAUUAUAUAAAAGUUGUUACCUGUAGAUGCUGGGUGUCCAGGGAUAAGAGCAAGAAUGUUCUAUAUAUCAUUUUUUUUUAAUUUAGAGAGGGGGAGGGUAGCAGAAUUGGUAGGUUUGGAAGUUCGUGUGACAGCAUACACUUUUAACUUUUACUGUAUGUAAUGUUUUGCAUAUUGUGUAUAUUUCUUAGGUAUACUAUGUUCACUAAACUGUUGGUUUCUUUUACUCACUGCUCCUUAAAUUAUGUAAUAACAGGUUUUCUUUUUUAAAAAACUGUAGCUAUAUUCAGUCAUUCCAUUUGAUUAGCUUUUUAUUCAGCUUGUUAAAAAAUAUAUAUUAAAUGCCUCCUGUACCAUGGAUACUGUACAUUUAGUUACACAUGCGGUAGUUUCUAGGUUUUCCCCAAGAGAUCAGUAAGCUAGGGGAAGUAUAAUAGUUAAGUGCAAGGUACAUAAGAAGUUUACCUAACAGUAUAGGGGAUAAUGAAGCCAAGAUAGGAGGGGAGAGGAGGACUUUACAACAUUGAACCUCAGGGGAAUUUCAUCAUCAAAGUUGUGCUCUAAGGCAGAACCCAUCUUUGAGGCCAAGUAACUGAUCUAACAUUGGUAGAUCUUGUUCUCUAAAAGACUUUUGGUAUUGUCGCAAUGGACUUAUCACCGUAUAUAUAUCUCCACCAACAGGAUUAAAUUCUAAUUAUUAAAAGGUCCUAAGGGACCUCCUUUUGUCUGUUAGGUGUUCUUGCUAAAAUUAUUGUAAUUCUGGGUCAGAAAUCAUGUCAGUCAUAAAUGCAGUCUUUUUCAUGAUGUCUCUAGAUAAAGUUUUGUCCAUUAUUUUUUCAUGUUAAAUUGUUGAUCAUCAUCCAUUACUUUUCUCUGCAAUUCAUGAUACCUUGGCAGCCUGUUAUAAUUUCCAGUUUAUUUGCACUUUGUAGAAGCUUAAAAAUAUGUUGAAGGUAAUGUUAAGUGUCUAACUUAAGUUCUGCUUGCAAGGGGGUUCCUUUGAUCCACAAUGUUCCCUCUGAUGUUAGACCAAAUAUAGUGAACCCAAGUCCAAGGGGUCAGUAUAUCUUUUAGUAAUUUUAGUGACUCAUCUAUAAUUGGUAGUUUGAUACUUUUGGCACAAUUAUUUUCUAGUUAAGAGAUUAUAUGGUAUAUCUAUCAAUACCUGGGAUUGAACAAUUGGCAUAUCAUAUACAAGCAUUGUACCCUAGGUCUGAAAUUAUAAUGUAGGAUAUAGACAUACUGCUUUUAACAGGUUGUGUGAACCUCUUUAAAAUCAAUGAAUUUCUGACAGAGUCAUGGAGCUCAAAGGUAUAUUGUAGAAUUUGUAGGAGUCUGCUAAGAAUUAACCCAUGGGAAUCAGGUUAGUUUGGAAUAAUGUAAGGUGGCCUGCUAUCUUCAUUGGUGUAUUUUCCUAUAACCCCUGAUUGAUGGGCAGCCUAAUGGCAAUUUGGUUGUUGCUGAUAAUAUAAGCUCUUUGCUGAUAACAUAUAAGGAUUUUUUUGUCUUUGUAGACCAAGGCUUUUUGUUCUUUUAGGAUGCUGUAAUUCUCUUAAAACUGCCUGACACUUAGUAAGUAUUCAUUAAAUGUGGAAUAAAUAUUGGUAUGGAUAUAAUACCAAUAUAUACACAGUACUAUAUGUGUCAUCCCCUCAGUGCAGUGUUUUACACAUUAUGUUUUUAUGUAUUUUGUAGUUAUUUUGGGGUACUUAUCCUAGUAAUUCUGUAUGAUAAUUUGCAUAGAAUUACUUUUUGAAAAUGUUCCAGGAGUCCCAACCAUCGUGGCUCAGUGGUUAAUGAACAGACUAGCAUCCAUGAGGACAAAGGUUCGAUCCCUGGCCUCCACAGUGGGUUAAGGAUCUGGGGUUGCCGUGAGCUGUGGUGUAGGUCGCAGACGUGGCUUGGAUCUCGUAGUGCUGUGGCUCUGGUGUAGGCAGGCAGCCACAGCUCCAAAUGGACCCCUAGCCUGGGAACCUCCAUAUGCUGGGGGUGUGGUCCAAAAAGACAAAAAG
rnacentral:lncRNA from 1 species